CCUCGCCGAUUCCUCCGAGCAGAAGAAGGCAUCUGUGCGGCGGACGUGGAACUGAUCUGCCAGUGCUCGUCCACUACACCACCAGCCACGCACUGCCGUUCCAGAUCGCCGGUCGCCGCGCUGCUGCUGCUGGAUCUGGACGCCGCGCUGCUACUGCUGCUGCUGGAUCGUGAGUUGCGGUUGGGAGAAAAAAGUUGAGAGCACGCGUGUUUGACUGAGCACGCCCCAGACCGUUCGACGCUGCCGGGCCGCUCGCCGUUGCUGGCUGGCCGGACCCUGGCUCCGCUCGCCGCUGCUGGCUGGCCGGACACUGGUCGCACCCACCACCGCCGAUCGCGCCUCCGCAGCAAGCGCAGUCAACUCGCUCCAGCUGACCGAGUUCGCAACGGCAA
rnacentral:lncRNA from 1 species